GCUACGGGUGGCAGCAGUGAGGAAUAUUGGUCAAUGGACGCAAGUCUGAACCAGCCAUGCCGCGUGCAGGAAGACGGCUCUAUGAGUUGUAAACUGCUUUUGUACGAGGGUAAACGCAGAUACGCGUAGCUGUCUGAAAGUAUCGUACGAAUAAGGAUCGGCUAACUCCGUGCCAGCAGCCGCGGUAAUACGGAGGAUUCAAGCGUUCUCCGGAUUUAUUGGGUUUAAAGGGUGCGUAGGCGGUCGGCUAAGGUAGAGGUGAACUCCCGUCGCUCAACGGCGGAAGUGCCUCUGUUACUGUUCGCCUAGCGUGUAGUUGCGGUAGGCGGAAUGUAUGGUGUAGCGGUGAAAUGCUU
rnacentral:rRNA from 1 species